rnacentral:tRNA from 1 species
CAGAAAAUAGUUUAUUUAAAAUAUUAGUUUUGGAGACUAAUGAUAGAGGGUUUCUCUUUUUCUGA